UACGUAGGUGACCAGCGUUGUCCGGAUUUACUGGGCGUAAAGAGCGCGCAGGCGGUCGUUCAAGUCGAGUGUGAAAGCCCCCGGCUCAACUGGGGAGGGUCACUUGAUACUGAUCGACUCGAAGGCAGGAGAGGGAAGCGGAAUUCCCGGUGUAGUGGUGAAAUGCGUAGAUAUCGGGAGGAACACCAAUGGCGAAGGCAGAUCUCUGGGCCGUAACUGACGCUGAGGAGCGAAAGCAUGGGGAGCGAACAGG
rnacentral:rRNA from 1 species